AGUGAACGCUGGCGGUAGGCCUAACACAUGCAAGUCGAACGGCAGCACAGUAAGAGCUUGCUCUUACGGGUGGCGAGUGGCGGACGGGUGAGGAAUACAUCGGAAUCUACUUUUUCGCGGGGGAUAACGUAGGGAAACUUACGCUAAUACCGCAUACGACCUACGGGUGAAAGCAGGGGAUCUUCGGACCUUGUGCGAUUGAAUGAGCCGAUGUCGGAUUAGCAAGUUGGCGGGGUAAAGGCCCACCAAGGCGACGAUCCGUAGCUGGUCUGAGAGGAUGAUCAGCGACACUGGAACUGAGACACGGUCCAGACUCCUACGGGAGGCAGCAGUGGGGAAUAUUGGACAAUGGGCGCGAGCCUGAUCCAGCCAUACCGCGUGGGGGAAGAAGGCCUUCGGGUUGUAAAGCCCUUUUGUUGGGAAAGAAAAGCAGCAGGUUAAUACCCCGCUGUUCUGACGGUACCCAAAGAAUAAGCACCGGCUAACUUCGUG
rnacentral:rRNA from 1 species